GCUAAUGAUUGUUCAAGUGUACAGGACCAAAGGCUAGUCAAGUAAUUUCAAUAGGUCUUGGAAGAACAAUGGAGAGCAAAGGAAUUCGAAGCAUCUGAAGAAAACUGCGUCUGAAGCUAAAGUGCUUCUGAAGCUGAAGUGCCUCUGAAGUGAUGACGUCAUCAGAAGUAGAAGCUCAUCAGAAGCAGAAGCUCAUCAGAAGCAAGGUUUUCAUCAGAAGCGAAAUCAUCACCAGAAGCUACAAUUGAUUUGUAAAUUCAAACUGAAGAUCCAAAGUAGUUGUUUCUCAUUUCAACCUCGUCUAAGAAGAACGAAAAAUUGAAAGGGAGGUAUCAACGGUCAUUUGGAUAGCACUGAGUAUUUGUCCUUCGUUAACAGAGUUGACAAAGUACAAGUGUACAACCACUACCUCCACUACUCUGUUUUGUCCACGCUACAAGACAAGACAACA
rnacentral:lncRNA from 1 species